UGGGGAAUCUUGCGCAAUGCGCGAAAGCGUGACGCAGCAACACCGCGUGAGGGAAGACGGCCUUCGGGUUGUAAACCUCUUUCAGGAGGGACGAAGGUCGGCCGGUGAAUAGCCGUGCCGACUGACGGUACCUCCAGAAGAAGCUCCGGCUAACUACGUGCCAGCAGCCGCGGUAAUACGUAGGGAGCAAGCGUUGUCCGGAAUCAUUGGGCGUAAAGCGCGCGUAGGCGGCCCGAUAAGUCCGCUGUAAAAGUCAACGGCUCAACUGUUGAAAGCCGGUGGAUACUGUCGGGCUAGAGUACGGAAGAGGCAAGUGGAAUUCCUGGUGUAGCGGUGGAAUGCGCAGAUAUCAGGAGGAACACCUAUAGCGAAGGCAGCUUGCUGGGACGUUACUGACGCUAAGGCGCGAAAGCGUGGGGAGCGAACAGG
rnacentral:rRNA from 1 species